rnacentral:tRNA from 1 species
GGUAUUAGAGUUGCUGCCUGGCAAGCAGUAGAUGGCGGGUUCAAAUCCUGCUGGUUCCA